rnacentral:RNase_P_RNA from 1 species
CAGGCCAGCCGGGUGACCGCGGCCCCGCACGGCGGGGUCGAGGAAAGUCCCCACUCCACAGAGCACGGUGCCGGGUAACCCCCGGGGCAGGGCAACCUGCCGGAUCGGGCCACAGAAACAGACCGCCUCAGGAUGCUGGAACGACAGGGUGCUGGAGCAUUCCUCCAAAUCCGUUGUUCUCAGAAUUCGGGCAAGGGUGAAAAGGCGGGGAGAGUGUCAAUCACUUUCCCGGGCAGCGGUGUUCACGUUGCCUGUGUAAGAGACCACCGGCGUCGGCAGCAAUGCCGGCGGCCAGGCAACCCCCACCUGGAGCAAGGCCAAGCAGAGGCGAAGCCUCUUCCACUGGAAGGGGCGGGAGGCUGCUCGUCUCCCCGGCCCUCCCCAGCGAGGGCCCCAGCCCCGGGUCGGCCGCUAGAGCCGCGCCGAGAGGCGCGGCCCAGAUAGAUGGUCACCCAGGCGGAGUCGCUCUCCGCCGGACAGAAUGGGGCUUAUAGGCCGGCCUGGGAU